CGGCGCACGGGUGAGUAACGCGUAUCCAACCUGGCCCUUAGUAGGGGAUAGCCCGGCGAAAGUCGGAUUAAUACCCUAUGUUAUCCCUUGAGGACAUCUGAUUUGGAUUAAAGGUUUACCGCUAAGGGAUGGGGAUGCGUCUGAUUAGGUUGUUGGCGGGGUAACGGCCCACCAAGCCUGCGAUCAGUAGGGGUUCUGAGAGGAAGGUCCCCCACAUUGGUACUGAGACACGGACCAAACUCCUACGGGAGGCAGCAGUGAGGAAUAUUGGUCAAUGGACGAGAGUCUGAACCAGCCAAGUAGCGUGCAGGAAGACUGCCCUAUGGGUUGUAAACUGCUUUUAUGCGGGAAUAAAGUGCACCACGUGUGGUGUUUUGUAUGUACCGCAUGAAUAAGGACCGGCUAAUUCCGUGCCAGCAGCCGCGGUAAUACGGAAGGUCCGGGCGUUAUCCGGAUUUAUUGGGUUUAAAGGGAGCGCAGGCGGGAGGUUAAGCGUGACGUGAAAUGUACCGGCUCAACCGGUGAGUUGCGUCGCGAACUGGCCUUCUUGAGUGAG
rnacentral:rRNA from 1 species